AGUGAACGCUGGCGGUAGGCCCAACACAUGCAAGUCGAUCGGCAGCACAGAGGAGCUUGCUCCUUGGGUGGCGAGUGGCGGACGGGUGAGGAAUACAUCGGAAUCUACUCUGUCGUGGGGGAUAACGUAGGGAAACUUACGCUAAUACCGCAUACGACCUACGGGUGAAAGCAGGGGAUCUUCGGACCUUGCGCGAUUGAAUGAGCCGAUGUCGGAUUAGCUAGUUGGCGGGGUAAAGGCCCACCAAGGCGACGAUCCGUAGCUGGUCUGAGAGGAUGAUCAGCCACACUGGAACUGAGACACGGUCCAGACUCCUACGGGAGGCAGCAGUGGGGAAUAUUGGACAAUGGGCGCAAGCCUGAUCCAGCCAUACCGCGUGGGUGAAGAAGGCCUUCGGGUUGUAAAGCCCUUUUGUUGGGAAAGAAAUCCAUCUGGUUAAUACCCGGGUGGGAUGACGGUACCCAAAGAAUAAGCACCGGCUAACUUCGUGCCAGCCGCCGCAGUAA
rnacentral:rRNA from 1 species